CAAUAGCGUAUAUUAAUGUUGUUGCAGUUAAAAAGCUCGUAUUUGGACUUCUGCCCGGAGCGUCCGGUCGUCCCCUCACGGGGUCUGUACUUGGACGUCUUUGGGCAUCCUUGGCGAGAGCGUGUUGGGCAUUAAGUUGUCCGGCGUGGGAUCGCCAUCAUUUACUGUGAAAAAUUAGAGUGUUUAAAGCAGGCGUUUGCUGUGAAUACAUUAGCAUGGAAUAAUAAGAUAGGACUCUGGUGCUAUUUUGUUGGUUUCGAACACCGGAGUAAUGAUUAAAAGGGGCAGUCAGGGGCACUCGUAUUCCGUCGAGAGAGGUGAAAUUCUCAGACCAAUGGAAGACGAACCACUGCGAAAGCAUUUGCCAGGGAUGUUUUCACUGAUCAAGAACGAAAGUUAGGGGAUCGAAGACGAUUAGAUACCAU
rnacentral:rRNA from 1 species